rnacentral:lncRNA from 1 species
CCUAAGUUCCAAAAAGCUAAGAAAACUAAAAUAGAAAGAGAAGAAAAAAAGGAGAGAGAAUCCGUGGGUAACAAGGAGGGAGAAAGAAGAAAAUUUUCUUCAUACCAUCUACCUUGGUAGGAGGAGAGAUCAUCCAACCAAAAAGGUAUAAAAAUUUCCAAAACUAAAAAUCUAGUUAGAUUUAAAUGUAUUCCCUUGUGGUUAUUUUUGAUAAGAUCAUGAGCUUAUAUUUUCAAACUCAAAAACCUUAGAUCUAAAUGUUAAUAAGUGUUUUAUGUUUAGAUCUAACCAUUUUGGGUGUUUUAAUGUUGAUCAAAAGGUAGAAAAGAAAAAUAGGUUUUCUAGUUUAGAAAACCCUAAUCUUUCUCUACUUUGAAAAUCUACCAUUUGAAAUCUACAACUCCUUUUUGUGAUCCGUCAAAGAGCGGUGCUGGAUAUGUAAGUUAACUAUUAAAACCAAGUGGUAGCACUCAAAAUUGUUGACUUUACAAGCCUUGGCAGCCAUUUUAGUACAAACAGUCCAGUUGAAAGAAAAACUGUUAAAGGGCAAUUUCUGACCUAUUCUUGCAGGGGCAGUUUCAUCCGUUUUCUUUACUUUAAAAAUUCUGAGAAAAUUUGGCAUACUAAUAUGAUGUGUUAUCUAGAUCCUGUCCAAAGAUGGCUAUUUUUAGAAGUGUAGAAUGAGAGUUAUGGAUUUUACAAGGAAAGACUAUUUUAAAAGUAAACUAAAAUAACUUUUUUUGUGUAACACCAAAAAUUGUGAAAUUUUUACUGGAAGUACAUAUACAUAACAUGAACAUUUACUGAAAAUUUCAUAAUUUUUGGACUUAACAACUGUUCAUGAUAAUUGUUACAAGAUCUUACUAUUUUGGUCAUUUUCAAAAUAGUAAAUGAAAACCAAAAAUUUCAUAAAAAUUAUAUGUUCAUCAUGAUACCAUGUACUGAUAUUUUCCAGAAAAUAAGAAUUUUCAGAACUGUUUUAGUAUUUUUCAUGGAUAUGUUUGAGUUAUGAAUAAAUAAGAAUAAUAAGUUAUGUGAUGUCAUAAAUGGCAAAAAUAUAAUUUUAUAACUUCGAGACUAAAUAUGAUGUGUCCAGAUUUUGGGAGGGUAUUUUGGUCAUUUUUAAUGGGAUUUUAUAUUUAUGGCAUAUUAGGGCUGUUAAAUAAAGUAAUUAGUAAAGGGUAAACAAUUAGAAUAAGUUAUUUAUUAGUAUAAUAAAUGAUUAAAAUAUUAUUAAGAGAUUAAUAAUAUUCUAUUAUGAUAUUAUUAAGUAAUUAAUAAUAUUUAGAUGAGAAUUAAAUUAAAAUAUUAUUAAAUAAUUAAUAAUAUUAGAUAAUGAUUUAAAAUAUUAUUAAAUAAUUAAUAAUAUUAGAUUAAAGUUAAAUAAUAAUAUUAUUAAAUGAUUAAUAAUAUUAUUAAUUGAUUAAAAUAUUAUUAAAUGGUUUAUAAUAUUUAUGAAUAGUUAAGAUAUUAAAUAUUAAUUAAAAUAUUAUUAAUUGAUUAAUAAUAUUAGUAAUUGGUUAAGAUGUGAUUAAUAUACGGAAUAUUAUUAAGUGAUUAAUAAUAUUAUCAAGUGACUAAAAUAUUAUUAAAUGAUUUAUAAUACUAAUAAGGGAUUAAAAUAUUAUUAAAUGGUUAAUAAUAUUAGAAAGUGAAUAAAAUAUUAUUAAAGGAUUAAUAAUAUUAAACAAGAGUUUAAGACAAUGGUUAUAUGGUAAUAGUAUUAUCAAAUAAUGAUAAUAUUCUUAAUGAGGAAGGUAUUAUUGAAUGUUUGAUUACAUGAUUACAUGUUAGAUAAUUUAUUACAAGAAUAGUUGUGUUAUGAGUUAUAAUAUGUUAUGCUAAUUGAGAGAUCAAUAUUAUUAAUGAUAGGUCUUUCAAAUUGUGUAGCAGUAGUCAACGACCAAAGCAAGUUUUCUAACUCAAACUUGAGUUAUUAUUAUUUUUCAAGCAUAGUAGUGGAUAAUUAUUGAUAAUUAUUCCACACCUAAGAUUGUUAUUGAAUAUUCGUAUGUAUUAUCAUUUCUUUAACUAAAAUUCGAAUUAUUAUUUAUCAUCAUGUUAAGUGGGUAAUUAUUGUUGAUUAUACCAUGUCUAAGAUUAUUAUUGAUUUUUUGCAAUUAGUGCAAAUUUAUUAAUUCAAACUAAGUUUUGAAUUUCAAAAGCGUGACUGGUGAAUAACUAUUGUUGGUUAUUCACAUCUAUAAAUAGUAUUGUUGAUUGCAAAUAGUGUAAUUGAUUUCUGCCUAUUAUUGAACAGCUUAUGAUCUAGGUCUCAGCUAAUUGUUUUGGCGAGACUAAUAUUUGUUGAAACUUGAUACGUUCUAGUAUUUAAACUCAAUUGUUAUUGAAAGAUCAAUGCCAAUUAUUUCGGCUAGAUCGAUAUAGAUAUUAUAUGUUGAGAUCAUAGCAUUUCUUUAAAUUCAAAUCAUAUUGUUGUGAUAGGAACUCUUGAUGUAAGACUGAGAUGAACAACCUUUAUAUAAAAGGGAACUUUGUGGUCGGUCAUCCUGCUGUUGCGCUAUUUUUGAGUAUUAUGCAUAAUAUCGGGUACAAGGGGUUGGCCGCUCCAGGUACUUGCAGAGAGUUAUAGUUUAGUUUUUAUAGCUAAAUUAUAAUUUUGGGGGAAAUUUGGUAUUGUAUGCUUAUAAUUCCUCGAUUUGUUCAUGAUCCCAUUGUGAUCACUCAGCAUGAAAUCUGAGAAUAUCCCACUUUGUUAUUGUCGUAUUAUUAUCUCUUGUUACUCAAUUGAACAAUAUUGAAACUUCGUAAGAGUUUUACUCUUUCAUCUUUGAAUUGUUGUUUAACAUGAAAUUCGAUAAAGUCUUGUUAUUGAUAAAUGAUUUAUUCAGCUACUUCGAAAUCUGUUGAGUAUCAUUGAAUUCCUAUCGAAUCUAGACUCUAAUAUUCUUGAUUCAUAUUUCUUAUUGUAUGCUUUAACUUGCGGAGUAAACUUGUUGCUCACCCUUAAAUAUAACAUUUCAGGUAGUGGCGAGGUAGCAGGAGGGGUAGAUAAAGACAAGGGCAAGGACAGAAUUCAGGAG